UACAGUUUCAGAGGUUCAGUC
rnacentral:piRNA from 1 species